rnacentral:tRNA from 1 species
GGGCGCGUAGCUCAAUUGGCAGAGCAAGUGACUCUUAAUCACCUCUUAAUCACUAGGUUGAAGGUUCGAUUCCUUCCGCGCUCACCA